rnacentral:rRNA from 1 species
UACGUAGGGUCCGAGCGUUGUCCGGAAUUACUGGGCGUAAAGAGCUCGUAGGUGGUUUGUCGCGUUGUUCGUGAAAACUCACAGCUCAACUGUGGGCGUGCGGGCGAUACGGGCAGACUUGAGUACUGCAGGGGAGACUGGAAUUCCUGGUGUAGCGGUGGAAUGCGCAGAUAUCAGGAGGAACACCGGUGGCGAAGGCGGGGUCUCUG